GACGAACGCUGGCGGCGUGCUUAACACAUGCAAGUCGAACGAAGAGCGAUGGAAGCUUGCUUCUAUCAAUCUUAGUGGCGAACGGGUGAGUAACGCGUAAUCAACCUGCCCUUCAGAGGGGGACAACAGUUGGAAACGACUGCUAAUACCGCAUACGAUCUAACCUCGUCAUCGAGUAUAGAUGAACGGUGGCCUCUACAUGUAAGCUAUCACUGAAGGAGGGGAUUGCGUCUGAUUAGCUAGUUGGUAGGGUAACGGCCCACCAAGGCGACGAGGCGUAGCCGACCGGAGAGGGUGAUCGGCCAAACUGGAACUGAGACACGGUCCAGACUCCUACGGGAGGCAGCAGUAGGGAAUCUUCCGCAAGGGGCGAAAGCCUGACGGAGCAACGCCGCGGGAGGGAUGAAGGUCUUCGGAUCGUAAAACUCUGUUAUUAGGGAAGAACAAAUGUGUAAGUAACUAUGCACGUCUUGACGGUACCGAAUCAGAAAGCCACGGCUAACUACGUG
rnacentral:rRNA from 1 species